UGCGUCAAUUGGGGUACAGGGAGAC
rnacentral:piRNA from 1 species